rnacentral:rRNA from 1 species
AGUGAACGCUGGCGGCAGGCCUAACACAUGCAAGUCGAACGAAGUCUUCGGACUUAGUGGCGGACGGGUGAGUAACACGUGGGAACGUGCCUUUAGGUUCGGAAUAACUCAGGGAAACUUGUGCUAAUACCGAAUGUGCCCUUCGGGGGAAAGAUUUAUCGCCUUUAGAGCGGCCCGCGUCUGAUUAGCUAGUUGGUGAGGUAAAGUCUCACCAAGGCGACGAUCAGUAGCUGGUCUGAGAGGAUGAUCAGCCACAUUGGGACUGAGACACGGCCCAAACUCCUACGGGAGGCAGCAGUUGGGAAUCUUGCGCAAUGGGCGAAAGCCUGACGCAGCCAUGCCGCGUGAAUGAUGAAGGUCUUAGGAUUGUAAAAUUCUUUCACCGGUGACGAUAAUGACGGUACCCGGAGAAGAAGCCCCGGCUAACUUCGUGCCAGCCGCCGCAGUAA